CCUGUGUAAAGCCCAGGAGCUGUGAGCAGCAAAGAAGUAGUCUUCAGUCACUCCCUGGGAGGAGGGAGCUUGGGCUGGAAAACCCAGAAAGAGGGAGAAGCCCAGGGAAACAGCAGCAAUGGGUAGGACCAUACAGAGCUUGGCUGCUUGUUAUAGGGUUCCUGGGCUGGAACCCAGGGUAGAGGGUGGGCCUGGGUUCCCCUGCCAGCCUCUGGGAAGUGGUGCAGGGCCUUGGAGAUGCCAGCCAGAUGGCUGGUCCAGAAGGACUUUUAUUUCCCCAGAAAGGGAGGACCUUAGUAACCUGGCCAGAGGGCCAAGCCACGAUCAGGAAGCUGCAGCUCCAGGAGCAAGAGCAACCGCAUGAUGAAAGAGAUCAUGGCUAGAGAAACUGCCAGAAAGCAGCGCCUGGCCAGAGUUAAUUCCCAGAGCUGACAGGAGGAGGUGCCACAUGUGCAGGUCUUUCUUAAACAUUGUGAACAUCCAAAAGUCAACGUAACUGUUGAAGAAUGAGCUGGAUUCCACUCCACUUUGUACAGCAGCAACAGUAAAUCGUGUUCAGUUCUAGCUGAAGAAUCUACAUCUGCAGUGGAUCACAGCCUGAUCUUUGGAUCUGACUCAAGUCAGCAAGGGCUGGCAUUUGGAAAAGUCAUCUUGUAAACUGAGCCAUUCUGGCAGGGGUCUUCCUGAAAAAGAAUAAACAAAUUGUCCUACUG